rnacentral:rRNA from 1 species
CCUACGGGGGGCAGCAGCGAGGAAUCUUGGUCAAUGGGCGCAAGCCUGAACCAGCGACGCCGCGUGCAGGAUGAAGGCCCUCGGGUCGUAAACUGCUUUUGGGUGGGACGAAGAUCUGACGGUACCACCCGAAUCAGCCACGGCUAACUACGUGCCAGCAGCCGCGGUAAUACGUAGGUGGCAAGCGUUGUCCGGAUUUAUUGGGCGUAAAGCGCGCGCAGGCGGUUCGUUCAGUCCGAUGUGAAAGCUCCCGGCUCACCUGGGAGAGGUCAUGGGAUACUGGCGGACUGGAGGGAGGCAGAGGACGGUGGAAUUCCCGGUGUAGUGGUGAAAUGCGUAGAGAUCGGGAGGAACACCAGUGGCGAAGGCGGCCGUCUGGGCCUUACCUGACGCUGAGGCGCGAAAGCGUGGGGAGCGAACCGGAUUAGAUACCCUGGUAG